CUGAAACACAUCACCUAAUGAGAGCUCCAGUGCACAAUUCUAAUCAUCCCUACUGCCUCAGGGUCUGCUGUGGGGGUUGCACACAGUAAUUAGUUUCAAGGCACUUUACUGUAGGGACGAUAUGUGGGAGCCAAGAAUUAACAUCACUUUAGAGGCAUUUGGCUUCAUUUUUCUACUCACUAUUUGGAGGUAACGCUUCUAACAACUAGUUCAUCAGGGGAAAAGCUUUUCUGAUUAAGCAGUUGCAGUACUGGAUUUAAACAGAGCUAAAGUAUUUUCAUCUCACAGAAAGGAAAAUGCAAAGCAUCACAAUAACAUGCACCCUAAUGUGCAAUGGCACCCCUUAGAUGUGCAGUGGCAGAGGAUGUAGAUAAGAAUUUGCUCCUAUCCAAGAAGAAAAUGUGCCAUAAGAAUGAAGGUGAAUUUAUCCAUGUGGUGCUACGGUGGCCAGAACAUGCUGUUCACAAGGAUUGA
rnacentral:lncRNA from 1 species